GCUGGGAUAGCCUAGCCUGGUAAGGCGCAAGUCUGGAAAGCUUGUGCUCUCGUAGCUCGGGAGUUCGAAUCUCCCUCCCAGCGC
rnacentral:tRNA from 1 species